AGCGGCAGACGGGUGAGUAACACGUAGGUAACCUACCCCAGAGACAGGGAUAACCCUAGGAAACGAGGGCUAAUACCGGAUGACCUCCGGAAGGAGGAAAGGCUCAGGCGCUCUGGGAGGGGCUUGCGGCCCAUCAGCUAGUUGGUAGGGUAAAGGCCUACCAAGGCGAAGACGGGUAGGGGGUGUGAGAGCACGGNCCCCCACAAUGGGACUGAAACACGGCCCAUACUCCUACGGGAGGCAGCAGCAGGGAAUAUUGCACAAUAGGCGAAAGCCUGAUGCAGCGACGCCGCGUGAGUGAAGAAGGCCUUCGGGUCGUAAAGCUCUUUUGUAGGGGAAGAGGAAGGACGGUACCCUAAGAAGAAGCGUCGGCUAACUACGUGCCAGCAGCCGCGGUAAGACGUAGGACGCGAGCGUUAUCCGGAAUUACUGGGCGUAAAGGGCCAGCAGGCGGCUUGGUAAGUUGUGCGUGAAAGCCUCGUGCUCAACGCGAGGAAGCCGGACAAUACUGUCAAGCUAGAGGGCAUCAGAGGGGAGUGGAAUUCCCGGAGUAGCGGUAAAAUGCGCAGAUAUCGGGAGGAACACCGAUGGCGAAGGCAGUUCCCUGGGAUGCACCUGACGCUAAGAGGCGAAAGCUAGGGGAGCGAACAGGAUUAGAGACUCUGGUAGUCCUAGCUGUAAACGCUGGGUGCUAGGUGUGGGACGUAGAAGUUCCGUGCCGGAGCAAACGCGAUAAGCACCCCGCCUGGGAAUUACGGUCGACAGGGUUAAAACUCAAACGAAUUGACGGGGCCCACGCACAAGCAACGGAGCGUGUGGUUCAAUUCGAUGCUACACGAAGUACCUUAGCUGGGAUAGACAUGUACGUGGUACGAAGACGCAAGCGUAAGGACCGUUCGGGGAGCAUACACAGGUGAUGCAUGGCUGUAGUCAGCUCGUGCACAGUGAGCUGUCGGAUUAAGUCCCGUAACGAGCAGCAACCCUUGUCAUUAGUUACAAGUGUAUAACGGCGGCUGCCGGCGGGAAGCAGGAGGAAGGUGGGGAUGACGUCAAGUCAGCAUGGUCCUUAUGUCCAGGGCUACACACACGCUACAAUGGUCAGU
rnacentral:rRNA from 1 species